rnacentral:misc_RNA from 1 species
GUGAGGUUCUCUUAACCUUUAUCCACAAAUAUGGAAGAAAAUAAGAAGGAAAACAUAGAAAACAAACCAAUAUCAGUUGAAGCUUUUUCUGAGAAAAAGAACAAGCAGCCCAACUUCCUCUUAUCAGUCAAACUCAAAUAUGUGAAACUUGGUUACCGCUACUUGGUUUCCAAUGCCAUGUACCUCUUGGCCUUACCAUUUCUCUGCAUGAUUUUGGCUCAUCUUUCAACGCUUACCGUUGAAGAUCUCAC